rnacentral:lncRNA from 1 species
AAAUAAGUAGUUUUGAAAAAUGUUGCCAGUAACAGAGGCUGUGGGAUCGGAGAAAUCAAUUAUUUAAGACAAAUUGUUGCUGAGCACAGCAACAGUGAAUUCCUUUCACAUCUACGAGGGACAUCUCUAUUGAUUCUUGUAGUUAUAAUAAAGCAUAGGUAUAUUUGAAGCCCAAAUAUGCCCCUUUAAGUGGAUAAUAACUGUUGACUAUCCAUCUGAGUGCUAAAAUGUAUUGUUUCCUUUAUUGGGAGCCAGGCAUGAUAGGCGUAGUCGAUUUUUGAAGGAUCUUGUUGAGUUGACCAAGUGCUGAGCUAAUUCAUGAAAUAACCGAUUUGAAACUGCUUCGACUUGUCAUUUCUGAUGUCAUUACUUCCUAAUGCAGUUUCUUUGGCAUGUCUGGAAUUUGAUUUCCUUUUGACUGAUUCUACAUAUUAAUGCAGAUAUUUGUCUUCCACAGUUUGGCUUUGAGUUUUUGGUCUGAACGUGAACGAGCUGUGGUGUCAUAAUCGCUACUUGCUUUCGUUGUAUUAGCUACAGAGUACAUGAAACACUCUCGAGCUCUGGUGUCAUAAUCCCUACUCACUUUCGUUGUAUUAGCUACAGAGUACAUGAACACUCUCGAGCUGUGGUGUCGUAAUCCCUGCUCACUUUUGUUGUGUUAGCUACAGACUACAUGAAACAGUCUCCCAUCAAGGCCUUAUUCUUCUCGCUUGUGUCCUUCAACUGAACUAACAAGCUAUUGCCCAAGUCCACCAGCACAACUCCCCUCCCGACNACAGACUACAUGAAACAGUCUCCCAUCAAGGCCUUAUUCUUCUCGCUUGUGUCCUUCAACUGAACUAACAAGCUAUUGCCCAAGUCCACCAGCACCACUCAUCUGCUUUUUUAACCUUUGCAGCCGGUCAUAAUGGAGUCAACUUGAUCGGCAAUUAUUAUCAGUGGCCUGGACAUAUUACUGUACAGCUCUU